UCUGUCACACACAUCUUUCACACCUCUCAGUCCUUCUCAAGAGGAAGUAUAGAUGGGUAGAGAGGAGAGGUGGGUGGGGGGAUGGACAGGCUACAAGUCACUAGAGUUUAGAUACAGUUAGUGAUCGACACGUUGAGAUGGAAUGCACCUGUCUUCUACUCUUGCUGUUGAGUACACUGGUAUACUGUAGCCUCGGACAAGGUGGAGUUCUCUUUAAUCCAGCCUCUCUGAGUGUCAGUCCUGACAGAUCUCAGUUCUUUAAAUUAGAGUCUGUCUCUCUGAGCUGUGAGGUUCAGGGGAACUCUGCUGGAUGGAGAGUGGUGAGG